GAUGACAUCCAAGACAUUGAUGGGCGUCAUUUGAGAAACAGGCUAAUAGCUGAGAGAUUUUAAGAUUUUGAGUAGCGUUGCUGUAAAAUAACAAGCUUAAUAUCCUUCAUCAUAACAAAGACGCUGACCAUACAUGCUUUGAAAAGACUUAGUUAUUUCAGAAAUUAUUAAAUUUCAACAUAAAAAGUUUUUUUGGU